UACAGAGGUGGCAAGCGUUGUUCGGAAUUACUGGGCGUAAAGGGUGCGUAGGCGGGUCUUUUAAGUCAGGGGUGAAAUCCUGGAGCUCAACUCCAGAACUGCCUUUGAUACUGAAGAUCUUGAGUUCGGGAGAGGUGAGUGGAACUGCGAGUGUAGAGGUGAAAUUCGUAGAUAUUCGCAAGAACACCAGUGGCGAAGGCGGCUCACUGGCCCGAUACUGACGCUGAGGCACGAAAGCGUGGGGAGCAAACAGGG
rnacentral:rRNA from 1 species